rnacentral:rRNA from 1 species
AGUGGAUGGGGAACAACCUAGUUGUGCGUGUGUAAAGGUAGUGCCAAGAAAAGCGGUGAUCAUGAUGAAAAUCAAUUCCCGGUACCCGAAACCGACACAGGUGGGCAAGUAGAGAAUACUAAGGGGCGCGAGGUAACUCUCUCCAAGGAACUCGGCAAAAUGACCCCGUAACUUAGGGAGAAGGGGUGCCACCGAGAGGUGGUCGCAGUGAAGAGGCCCAGGCGACUGUUUAGCAAAAACAUAGGUCUCUGCAAACUCGAAAGAGGAGGUAUAGGGGCUGACGCCUGCCCAGUGCCGGAAGGUUAAAGAAGUUGGUCAGUCUUAGGAUGAAGCUAGCGACUGAAGCCCCGGUGAGCGGCGGCCGUAACUAUAACGGUCCUAAGGUAGCGAAAUUCCUUGUCGGGUAAGUUCCGACCCGCACGAAAGGCGUAACGAUCUGGGCGCUGUCUCGGAGAGAGGCUCGGCGAAAUAGGAUUGUCUGUGAAGAUACGGACUACCUGCAUUUGGACAGAAAGACCCUAUGAAGCUUUACUAUAGCUUGGAAUUGUGUUCGGGCUUCCUGUGCGCAGGAUAGGUGUAGGCGUAGAAGGUAUUCUUGUGGGGAUACUGGAGGCAACGGUGAGAUACCACUCUCAGGAGGCUAGAAUUCUAACUUAAUUAAGGACAGUUUCAGGUGGGUAGUUUGACUGGGGCGGUCGCCUCCAAAAAGGUAACGGAGGCGUACAAAGGUUCCCUCAGACUGGUUGGAAAUCAGUCGCAGAGUGCAAAGGCAGAAGGGAGCUUGACUGCGAGAAGUACAGUUCGAGCAGGGUGGAAACACGGUCUUAGUGAUCCGACGGUGCUGUGUGGAAGGGCCGUCGCUCAACGGAUAAAAGUUACUCUAGGAUAACAGGCUGAUCUCCCCCAAGAGCUCACAUCGACGGGGAGGUUUGGCACCUCGAUGUCGGCUCAUCGCAACCUGGGGCGGAAGUACGUCCCAAGGGUUGGGCUGUUCGCCCAUUAAAGCGGUACGUGAGCUGGGUUCAGAACGUCGUGAGACAGUUCGGUCCAUAUCCGAUGUAGGCGUGAGAAUAUUGAGAGGAGCCUUCCUUAGUACGAGAGGACCGGGAAGGACGCACCGCUGGUGUACCUGUUAUGAUGCCAAUUGUAAACGCAGGGUAGCCAAGUGCGGAGAGGAUAACCGCUGAAAGCAUCUAAGUGGGAAGCCCACCUCAAGAUGAGUAUUCUGGUGUAAGGUCACGGGAAGACGACCCGUAAAUAGGCACGAGGUGGAAGUGCAGAGAUGUAUGAAGCCGAAGUGUACUAAUAGACCGUCGGCUU